rnacentral:rRNA from 1 species
GGCCUGCUCACACAUGCAAGUCGAACGAUGAAGCCCAGCUUGCUGGGUGGAUUAGUGGCGAACGGGUGAGUAACACGUGAGUAACCUGCCAUGGGCUUCGGGAUAACUCCGGGAAACCGGGGCUAAUACCGGAUAUGAGCUACCUUCGCAUGGGGGUGGUUGGAAAGUUUUUCGGUCAGGGAUGGGCUCGCGGCCUAUCAGCUUGUUGGUGGGGUGAUGGCCUACCGAGGCGACGACGGGUAGCCGGCCUGAGAGGGCGACCGGCCACACUGGGACUAAGACACGACUCCGACUUCUACGGGAGGCAGCAGUCGAGAAUAUUGCACAAUGGGCGCAAGCCUGAUGCAGCGACGCCGCGUGAGGGAUGAAGGCCUUCGGGUUGUAAACCUCUUUCAGCAGGGAAGAAGCGCAAGUGACGGUACCCCCAGAAGAAGCGCCGGCUAACUACGUGCCAGCAGCCGCGGUAAUACGUAGGGCGCAAACGUUGUCCAAAAUUAUUGGGCGUAAAAAGCUCGGGGGAGGUCUGUCGCGUCUGGUGUGAAAACUCGAGGCUCAACCUCCAACUUGCAUCGAGUACGGGCAGACUAGAGUGCGGUAGGGGAGACUGGAAUUCCUGGUGUAGCGGCGGAAUCCCCAGAUAUCGGGAAAAACACCGAUGGCGAAGGCAGGUCCCUGGGCCGCAACUGACGCUGAGGAGCGAAAGCAUAGGGAGCGAAAAGGGUUAGAUGCCCUGGUAGUCCAUGCCGUAAACGUUGGGCACUAGGUGUGGGGCUCGUCCCAAGAGUUCCGUGCCGCAGCAAACGCAUUAAGUGCCCCCCCCGGGGAGUACGGCCGCAAGGCUAAAACUCAAAGGAAUUGACGGGGGCCCGCACAAGCGGCGGAGCAUGCGGAUUAAUUCGAUGCAACGCGAAGAACCUUACCAAGGCUUGACAUGCACGGGAAGCCACCAGAGAUGGUGGUCUCUUUGGACACUCGUGCACAGGUGGUGCAUGGUUGUCGUCAGCUCGUGUCGUGAGAUGUUGGGUUAAGUCCCGCAACGAGCGCAACCCCCACCCCAUGUUGCCAGCGGGUUAUGCCGGGGACUCAUGGGAGACUGCCGGGGUCAACUCGGAGGAAGGUGGGGAUGAC